rnacentral:rRNA from 1 species
AUUGAACGCUGGCGGCAUGCCUUACACAUGCAAGUCGAACGGUAACAGGUCUUCGGAUGCUGACGAGUGGCGAACGGGUGAGUAAUACAUCGGAACGUGCCCGAUCGUGGGGGAUAACGCAGCGAAAGCUGUGCUAAUACCGCAUACGAUCUACGGAUGAAAGCGGGGGACUCGCAAGGGCCUCGCGCGGACGGAGCGGCCGAUGGCAGAUUAGGUAGUUGGUGGGAUAAAAGCUUACCAAGCCGACGAUCUGUAGCUGGUCUGAGAGGACGACCAGCCACACUGGGACUGAGACACGGCCCAGACUCCUACGGGAGGCAGCAGUGGGGAAUUUUGGACAAUGGGCGCAAGCCUGAUCCAGCCAUGCCGCGUGCAGGAUGAAGGCCUUCGGUUGUAAACUGCUUUGUACGGAACGAAAAGACCUUCUCUAAUAAAGGGGUAGAAUGACGGUACCGU